AGUGAACGCUGGCGGCAGGCCUAACACAUGCAAGUCGAACGGCAGCACAGUAAGAGCUUGACUGAACGGGUGGCGAGUGGCGGGCGAGUGAGGAAUACAUCGGAAUCUACUUUUUCUUGGGGGGUAACGUCGGGAAACUUACGCUAUUACCGCAUACGACCUACGGGUGAGAGCAGGGGAUCUUCGGACCUUGCGCGAUUCAAUGAGCCGAUGUCGGAUUAGCUAGUUGGCGGGGUAAAGGCCCACCAAGGCGACGAUCCGUAGCUGGUCUGAGAGGAUGAUCAGCCACACUGGAACUGAGACACGGCCCAGACUCCUACGGGAGGCAGCAGUGGGGAAUUUUGGACAAUGGGCGCAAGCCUGAUCCAGCCAUGCCGCGUGGGUGAAGAAGGCCUUCGGGUUGUAAAGCCCUUUUGUUGGGGAGGAAAAGCAGCAGGUUAAUACCCGGCUGUUCUGACGGUACCGAAAGAAUAAGCACCGGCUAACUUCGUG
rnacentral:rRNA from 1 species